UUCAUAUGUUCUUCAUCUUUCAAGAUUAACCCAGCACCUUUCAUGGCUUCUCCCACGAUGAGCAAUCAUACUCUCUCUUUUUCUUCCUACAAUUCCUAUAAAACCCAUUACGAAAUGCACAAAAUCAUAUCAUGAUUUUUCCCAAGCAUAAAACUCUUUUUGGGAGCUCGAACGCAGAUAAACUCACCCCCACCUUAGAAUCCGGUCUGGAGCCGAAUAAAUUAGAUCUGGCCGAAAAUAUAACUUUUCCGGGACCUUCAUUCCACCACAACAUUUGUCGGCGACUUCCGCUCUUCCUUUUAUGUUAUUAAACCCCAAAUAAACUUAGGCAAACUAUCAGAUCUUAGUAAAAAAUUUGGCCGGAAUUUAAUUUCGCUUGAAUACUUGCUCUUCCUUCUAAUUCUGUUGUUUCUGUAUUACUUUGACAAUAGUUCAUAUAUUUGUUCUUUGUGCAGAUUUGGGGAAUGAGAAAAUUUUCACUUUGGUUUGUAUAGAGAUAAUUAUUGUUUCUUUUGAUUUUAGUAUUUUUUUAAUCAAACCCAGUGUAUUCACCCGCUUUUAAAAGCGCGUGACCACACAUUUCAUCUGGCUCAGCAAAAUAAAUGCACAUACGUUUGGUCAACGGCCAAAGUGGUUUAA